GCGUUAUUCAGAUUGGCCAGGGCUGGUCUAAAACCGUUGGUUUUCGACCACUACGACCCGGGUUCGAUUCCCGCAUUGGGCA